UAUAGAGGUGGUUGAGCCUGGCCCACACACAGGUGGCCAAUGGGAUUUCAACUCACCACAGUAAAUAUAUGCACGCCCACUGAUUGGAUGUCUCCAUCCAACCUGGCCUGCCCCCGAUAUCCAGGGUUUGCAACUAAGUUCCGCUGGAAGGGGCGGGGUCAAUCUAAGUUUACAGCCAAAUGGCUUCCCCUGGCUAACCAGGCCCCUACAGUCACCAUUUUGGAAACUAUCUGUCACAGUUUCAGGUGACCUCAAGUGAACUGAGGGAAUUGAGGCAUCAACAAUAUCUGCUAUAACCUUGUAUUGCUGUCCCCAUGUUACAGAUGGUGAAAGUGAGACCUAGAAAACUUAAGUGAGAUAUCUGAAGAUGUAGAACUAAGUCCACUGUUAUUUCUCCUGGGCCCAGAUGUCUGGAAGGAUUGAGUUCAGCCUCCACAUAAAAGAGAAAAAGAUACUGAGUUGAACACAUGCAAAUUGUCAACUACUUUUAUUCUCUGCUGGAAAUAAUCCUCAUGAGUUUGACAGAAAGAAGGCUGUUGAAAGAAACAAACAAAGAAACAAAGAAAGCAUGGUAUGCUCAUGUCAUAGGACUGAAUAUGCUGACCGCACGUGGGGUGUUUACAUUGCUUGUCAGAAGUGGUGAGCCAGGUGUCUAACAUCCAAGGUAUUGGCAAAAGAAUUCUUACUGCAUGAGUCUCUUGGAGUCAAAUUUGUAAAAAAUAUUUAAAGGAAUUAAUCUACAGCAAGUAUAAAACCCAAAACCUAAGCCAAGCAUAUGCAGUCUGCACUGUACUGACCCACCCAGGUUGCUCACAGUUCAAUCUGUCUAUCUCUGCCACAUGGAUCACCUCAUUGGCAGAUGAGAAAUGAAAUAUUACUGAUGAAUUCAAAAGUGACUCCUGCUAAUGUUAAGACUGAUCUUAUUCCUUGGAAAGACAAACACUGAAUAUCAGUUCCUUAUAUUUUUCAGAUAACGUAAUAUGAACUAUGAUUCUAUUAGAUAUAAAAACAGAAAAAAAAAUAAAAUUAGUUUUAUAUUCCCAGUCUGCAUUAUUUCUUGAUUUUAUGGUAAAAAAGUAUAGAGUACAAAGAACAAAGCUCUUAGGAAUUAAAGGAAAGUCUUUAGCCAUGUGAAUCAUAGAGUCCUAAAGUUAGAGAGGACCUCAAGUGUCCUUGGUUGAACUUUUUCUUGAUCAAGAAUCCCCUCUUCAAAAAAAAAAAAAAAAAAAAGAAAAGAAAAAAAAGAAUCCCCUCUUCAUCAGCUUCAACAUAAGGCCAAUCAUCCUUGGCCUGACUGUAUACGUGAUGGGGCAUUCAUACUGCUGUGGUCUCUCUUUCCAUUCUUAGAGAGUUUUGGUUACUCAUGUGGAAUAACUUCAGUUUUCCUGUCAUCACUUAUUUUGUGCUG